AAAUAUGCUGACGUCAUUAUAAUAAAAACAUUCAUAUCUCGUGAAAGAAACAUUGUAUAACAACAGCUCAGAAUAUUUCAUUUUCUGGAAACACAAAUAUGGCGGCCUAAAUGGAUUAUGACGUCAUCAUUCAAGCCCCUCGCCUUGUACCGCCGGGAAGAUAUAUUUUUCGCUUUAAAAGCUUUUUCCCGUCGAUUUUUGCAAUUUUAGAGCAGCCAGUGUGUUAGGUCAUCUUUCCAAGAUAUCUCGUGCAAGGCUUAAAAGCGAUGGAGUAAAAAUAUGGAAGAUGAUAUUGACCAUGGCAAAGAAGAUUGAGAUAAGUAAAUAUAUAAGGAUGGACAGAGAGAUCAUUGAAUUUUCUCCUUUGUAUUCCACUCUUAGUGAUAAAAAACUUAUACUAUUCUUUUUUGUGAAUAUUUGUUUUAUUUGUUCAA